UACGUAGGCAGCAAGCGUUGUUCGGAGUUACUGGGCGUAAAGGGUGUGUAGGCGGUUGCUUAAGUUUGGUGUGAAAUCUCCCGGCUCAACUGGGAGGGUGCGCCGAAUACUGAGUGACUAGAGUGCGGGAGAGGAAAGUGGAAUUCCUGGUGUAGCGGUGAAAUGCGUAGAUAUCACUCGGAAGGCCAACGGCGAAGGCAGGUCACUGGUGCGCAACUGACGCUGAGGCACGAAAGCGUGGGGAGCAAACAGG
rnacentral:rRNA from 1 species